rnacentral:rRNA from 1 species
AUCAUGGCUCAGAAUGAACGUUGGGCGGCGUGGAUUAGGCAUGCAAGUCGUACGGGCCGCAAGGCCAGUGGCGUAAGGGUGAGUAAGGCGACGGUAACCAACCCCAUGAUUGGGUAUAGCCGUGGGAAACCGCGGGUAAUCCCCAGCGACGUCUCCGGGGGGCAUCUCCUGGGGACCAAAGCUCCGGCGUCGUGGGACGGGCCGUCGUGGUAUUAGGUAGUUGGCGGGGUAACGGCCCACCAAGCCUUCGAUGCCUACCGGGCGUGCGAGCGUGGCCCGGCACACUGGGACUGAGACACUGCCCAGACUCCUACGGGAGGCUGCAGUCGAGAAUCUUCGGCAAUGGGCGCAAGCCUGACCGAGCGACGCCGCGUGGAGGACGAAGGCCUUCGGGUUGUAAACUCCUGUCGAGGGGGAAGAAGGCCCCGUGAGGGGCUUGACUGAUCCCUGGAGGAAGCACGGGCUAAGUUCGUGCCAGCAGCCGCGGUAAGACGAACCGUGCGAACGUUAUUCGGAAUCACUGGGCUUAAAGCGCGUGUAGGUGGGACGGCACGUCGGUCGCUGAAAGCCCCCGGCUCAACCGGGGAAGUGGCGCCGAUACGACCGGCCUGGAGGGACGUAGGGGGACCUGGAACUUCCGGUGGAGCGGUGAAAUGCGUUGAGAUCGGAAGGAACGCCCGUGGCGAAAGCGAGGUCCUGGACGUUUUCUGACACUGAGACGCGAAAGCCAGGGGAGCGAACGGGAUUAGAUACCCCGGUAGUCCUGGCCGUAAACGAUGGGCACUGGGUAGGGGGCUCGCCGAUGGGCUCCCUGCCGUAGGGAAACCGUGAAGUGCCCCGCCUGGGGAGUAUGGUCGCAAGGCUGAAACUCAAAUGAAUUGACGG